rfam:Stagonospora sp. SRC1lsM3a unplaced genomic scaffold IQ06scaffold_1, whole genome shotgun sequence.
GGGCGUGUGGCUCAGUGGUAGAGCGUCCGCUUUGCAUGAAUCUCAUCAGAAUUGCGGAAGGUCCGGGUUUCGAUCACCCGCCCGUCCA